AGAGAGACCAGAGAGCCAGUCCAACCCAGUCCAUCACCUGGAGGCUGGAGAACCACGAGGCUGUUGCCUGUUCGUCCCCCUCUUCUGAGAGGUCCAGACCAUGAACAAUUGGUAUACUUCCUUCUUAUGAAAUCCCUCUCUAUAGCCCUGAGCUCAAGGCUUCACUGUGGAAUUCUACCAAACAUUUAACAAAGAACUAACACCAAUCUUUCUCAAACCUUUCAAAAAUUGAAGAGGGAACACUUACUAGUCAUUCUAUGGAGCUGGCAUUACCCUGAUACCAAAGCCACUACAAAAAAAGAAAGCUAUAGACCAAUAUCCUUUAUGAAUAUUGAUGCACAAGUCUUCAACAAAGUACUAGGAUACCAAAUUCAGCAACAUAUUAAAAGGAUUACACACCAUGA
rnacentral:lncRNA from 1 species